CCCGCCCACCGCCCUCCUUUCCCCGCUCGCUCCUCUUGAUCUCCGACGAAAACUUCCAAGGUGCAUCUUCCUCUCCGCUCUUUUAAGGACGGCAACAAACAAACGCAGCGCCCGCUUGCCGGAAGGAAGCGAAAGCAGCGGAGCCUGGCUUUUGAAAAAAAAUAAAAUAAGCAGCCGCGUUUCCAAAAAGGUAGAAGAAAGGCAGCCGCAAUCUUCGAAGACGCCACAAGAAAAGCGAGCGCGCACGGAGUUACCUUUCGCAACGGCUUCGGAAGAGAGGCGCACAAAAGAACUCCAAACAAAAACACGAGCAGCCCCCCACCCCCACCCCCAAUUCGAAGAGGUUCGGGAUUUUCUCCUCAGCAGCCGAAGUUAGCCGGGCUUUCUAAGCGAUUUGAUGAAUCCCAGGAAAUUGCCGUUGCCAGCUCGAUCCGCUCGGCAGGCGCCCCGCGCGCCAACAAUAGAGCCUGACGGGUGUCUCUCGCCUUCUUCUCCAGUGCCUGCGUGCGCCUGUCAAACCUCACAAGCAUGAGCUUAUUGGCAGGGGCUGCACCUGACCCGGGCUGUCAGUCUCCUGCGACGCCCUGUGCCUAUUGGUUGGUUUGAACAAGAAGCGCCCUCAGUUGGUCGCCUUUCCUUUCUCCCUCCCCGCCCCUCCCGUUCGUUUUGUGGAUUCAGUGGCCGGAUUGCGCAAGAAGAAAAAGCUCCGGGGCGGGAUAAACUGCAGCAGGGCUGGCUCCGCCCCCGGUUAGGCGUGGCAUAGAAUAGGAUGGAAGGUCGGAAGGCGGGGCGUUCGUUCCCGCUUUGGGAACAGUUCCCGGGCCUCGGGUGGGGGGUGUUGUUGAGUACGCGGGGGGAGCGUCCGAUAGAGGGUGUUCCUCGUUAGUUUCAAGCAUUGCAGGAACGUGUUGAGAUAAUUGUGUGUGUGUGUGUGUGUGUGUGUGUGUGUGUGAGAGAGAGAGAGAGAGAGAGAGUGAGUGAGAGUGAGAGAGAGAGAAGGAAUGAAUGAGUGAAUUCUCGCCCCGUACAUGAGCCAGCUUAAAAGUUUUCCAUACCUGAAGCGUUUUCCUUCUUGCCCACAAACAUCUCGUGGUUUCCUGUCUUUUUUACUGCGGUGUGACGAUGGAAUGUGCCCAGUUCUUUAGGCAUGCCUUCUCCCCACCGAGUACUGCCCUCCAUGGCUAUUUAGGCUUGGGCUGGAGUGACACUCUGAGUGACACUUAUGACACUGAGUGACAUUUGUGCUUAGCUUUGCUAAGAAGCAGCAGUGGGGAACCUCCCUCCUGCAUCGUCUUCUGGUUUCGCCUUAACUCCUGUCACCUUUUAGCUAAGCAACAUUGUGGGUAGCUAAAACUAUUAGCUGUAAUCAUUUCGCCUAAAUUCAUCCCACUUAAGGAGAGAUGGAUUCCCCAUCUGCGGUCGGUACUUUUGUGACAACAAAAUUGGGAAAUCAGCCAAUCCCUUUCCCUUAGGGAACCCACAAUAAGUAUGUAAGAAUAGCAUCAUUCAGCAGGUGUAUCGCUCUGACAGAAUAGGGAUCAUUGGUGAGACCUAUUUUAUGUUUAGCAUAUUUUAUGUCAACAUAUUUUUUUGUAAACUUAAGAACUAAUAGAUAAUACUUUAAAGAUCCUAAUGCUAAGCAGCAAAAAUAGUUGCAUGGAAAUAUAAGCUAUGCAGUGAAAGCUUUAAUACUAGUCUUUGAGCCUGUCAUUAUUUGUUAUGAUCUGGCAGCUUCCAUCUGGAUACAUGAUGUUUUCAUCUUGUUCCCAGCACAAAUUCUAAGUCAUCUUAAAAAUAAAUGUAGAUGUUUUCCUCUGAAGUUGAAAACUCUCUAAUCACAGCUUCAUGAUAUAUAAAAUCCAUAAUAGUGUAUUUCCUAUUAUCUUGAAAGUGCAUAGAGAUUACAUCAGAGCAGAGGCAAGAGGAACAAGCAGUGAAAUGUAUAUCAUAUUGUCAUGCUGCAAAUGUGCUGUUUUCAUCAGAUGUCAGCUGUUGUAACAUGCUCAGGAGCUACGUGCAGGCAUGAGAGAAUCAUGCUGUACCGCGUAUGCGAAAAACUAGAUAAAGGUUGCAACAACUCAUAGAUAACUGUAACAAUUCACUAGCAGCUAGAAUUGUAGAUCUUCCCAAAUUUGGGCAUUGCUUCCAUGUAUUACUUGUACUUACGUAUGCAUUACAUGAGACAUGCUGUAAUAUAUUAUUGGCUUAUGCUAACAAACCCCUCCUGCCUUUGUUUGUGUACAAUAAAAGAGGCUCCCGGAGUCAGAUCUGGGUCGUCUCAUCCCGAGAAAACUCGUGUCCGAGUCUUUCCUCAAUAUUGACCUCAUGGGCGGCCCGCGGAAAACUCACAUCUGGUGACCCCGACGUGAUAUCCGUGUCGCCCACCCAUCUCACCCCCGGCUGGGAAUAGCCUCGCAUCCAGGGACGGCCGUCGGUGAACGGAGCACCCUCCCACAUCGUGAGUAUGGGAUCGGGCUUCUCGAAGGAACAGGCAGUUCAUCUCAAUGAACUUCGAGAUAUCUGCAAAUUAUCUAGUGUAAUUCCAGGCGGCGGGUAAGCUGCUUCCCAUUCCCCUGAAAAAACAUUUAAUCAGUGUACUAAAAUACAUUUGGCAACAUUAUCCGGCUUAUCCGGAAAAGGGCUCUUUAAAAGUGAAAGUGUGGAAGCAGAUAUGAACAUGCUUCCACGAACCUCCCCGAGCCCUGGAAAAAUUCUGGCACUCUGGAGAUUGGCUAUAGAGUGUUUAAUGAUGCAUGAAAAAAAAAAAAAAAGGCCUUCAGGACACUGAUAAUGGUUCCUUUUUAGAUUAAUGUCAUCAAGGAAUAGAAAAUAUAGCUCUGAUGCCUUGGAAGAGCAACAAUUAAUUACAAGUCCUCCACCUGAUUAAAAUUGUUAAAAAUUGUUAAAAUUGUCACCUCAAAACCAUCUUUAAUUGAAUCAUAAGUUCCUUCUGAAGGAGCUGGUAACACCCCCACUAAGCAGAAUUCAAAGAAACAGUUAGACAAAAAAGGGGGGGGGGUGGAAUAUAGAAGAAAUUCCUACCGGCUGCAACUUUGCAAGUUUCUUCUGAAUGUGCUUAUCAAACCUUCAGAAAAAUGCCUGUUUUUGGCAAGCGUCAACAAGCCUUCUCUAACAUAAGGAAAAAAGCUACAAAGAACGCCACUUCUGAAUGCCGAAAAGCAAUUGUUGGGCUGGGAAAAGAUCUUGAUUUGGCAGAUAUGGUUCAAGUGUGUCAGGAUAUAGAAACAUUGUAUAAAACCAAUUUGUUAGCACUGCUUUAUCACCAGGCAGCAAACCUCAAGAAAACAACCUAAUUGGCUUUUUGAAAUACAAAAUGAUUUAUUUGUAAAUGAAUUGCACAUUGCCCCAGAAAAAAUACAGCUGUACACUCCUUAUCUGUAUGUGCAAUUUCUUUCUGUUCUGGCUUUCCCUUGUUUAAAGUUACCAAAAGUUAUUUCCUUAGUAAAUUUGCAACAAUUACUGGGUACUAUUAAUUGGGUCCGCUCAUAUUUCUCUUUACCUAUGCAUUUACUUAGCCCAUUAUUUGAGUUAUUGACUAAAGGAAAAAAGCCAGGAGAUUUAAUUAUAGUUCCAUCUCUAGUUGUUUGCUACAGUGGAGAAAAUAAAUAACAUCUUGAGUAUUCAGUUUGUAGAUUGGAUCCCUCAUAGAAAUUGUCAGUUUGUUAAUAUUUCCUACUAGUAAGCUACCCACAGGAGUAUUGGCUGCUUUAGAACAGCAAAAAGUAUAUUGUCUUGAAUGGCUUUAUUUGUCUCAUUACCAUCUAAAAAUGUUUUACCCUUUAUCCGAGCUAUUGCUGAAAUUAUAACCUUGGGGCGUACUCCAGACUGUCGAAGAAAUGGAACUGAUUUAAUAAAUAUUGUUCUUUCUAUCUCAAAAUCUGACUUUCACUUAUGCAGCUAUCUCAGCUCUCCACACUUUUUCUUAACAACCUUUUAAUCUGAUCUAUGACUCUCAGUAUUUGAACUAAUCAACUUGAAGUGAUUUCUGUUAAAAAUAUUUUGUUGAUGUGCAUCUAUAAUGAUAGUGUGUGGAAUAGUAUGUGGUUGAAAUAAUUUUAAUUAUGAUAUGCUUGGCUGGCCAGCAAAAAUUGACUGGGCUUGAAUUGAAACUGUGGAAAACCGGACAGUGGUUAUGGGCCCAUGUCACCUUUUGUGAUUAUGACUCCUGCCUAUGUUUUUUCACUGUUUUGGGAAUAAACUAGUUCAUUGAAAUAAUUUGAAUGACUGAUUCACAUGAAGGAUGUAUUAUACAAAAGGUCUGAUUGCAGUACAGAUGUGAAUGGGUGUGUAUGUAGACAUUUAUUGGAUUGCAUGAAAUGUAAUUUUGUGUAUAAGCAUUUUUUUUUUCUUUCUCUUCCUGUCCUCCCAGGAGGAGGGAGGCUUGUCCGUUUUAAAAAGUUUUUUCCUUUCUCUCACCCCCUCCUUUUUUCCCUGGGAGGUGAGAGGCACAAAAAGGGGGGCUACGGUUUUUGUUCUCUUCACCAUUUUUUUCUCUCAGAGAACCAGCCUGAGAAAGGCGGGGUAAAGGGUGAUAUCUGAUACCUGCCUUUGCAGUUUCAGAGUAUUGACUCAAAAUACCUCAUUUAGAUUGUUUGUUUUAUUUUUGAAGCUGUCUUUCUUACUCCUUAAUGUUUUUAUGUCUGCGUGCAUUCUGCAUACUUAACAGAUGGCAUGUUUGUUUGUUUGUUUGUUUGUUUGUUUUUGUUGUUUGUUGUUUGUUAUAAAUUGCUGCCAUUUUAGGAAUUGUCACAGAGAUAAGUUAGAGAUUACAAUAUGUAGACAGAGAGAUAAAAUACUUAAGACAUUUAAUUAAUGAAAGAAGAUAACACCUGAAGAGUUGAGGAAAUGUUUAGGAUUGACUGGAUAUUGUGGGCUGUGAAUAGAUAAUUGUGCUAUUUUGAAUGAAGACUGGUAUGCAAAGAACCCAGUGUUACAGGGAAUGUAAGGGAAUGGCUUUGAGGGUUUUAACCCAGAAGUGGGGAGGGAAGAGAGAGUUAGUGAAGGAAAACAGAAAGUUGACUUUUGGAAGUAUCAGAUAUUGGUGCUGAGAAGGGGUUGAAUUGUUUAUAGAUGGGAAGAGAAAGUUGGUUUGCACAGACUUGGGCUGGCUUGGAAGUCAGAAUGGCAGUGGAGAAAGGACUUGAAUGUUUAGUGUCAUAAGGAGAUUUGUUUAUUGGAAGGUUAUAGAUAUUGUGGGUGGCGGAGACAGAGAUUUCCAUCAAAAUAAAAAAGCAUUAGCGAAGCAAUUUGGUCUCAAGGCAGCCGAAGCGACUGCCAUCAUACAACAAUGUCCUACCUGUAGUCAACAAGCUCAUUCUAUCCCUAUGGGUGUAAACCCUAAAGGAUGGCAUUCCCAAAAAGGGGAGAAGCAACCAAACAUGUAAUAAAUCAUUGUAUUCGGACUUCUGCAUCGAUGGGACGCUCAAUUGAACUUAAAACUGACAAUGGACCUGCGUACACCAGUACUGCCUUUGCAGACUUUUGUAACAAGUGGUCCAUCACACAUAAAUUUGGCUUAUAAAUUGAAAGAGGAAAAAUGCCUCGGCCUCCCAGCCAUGCAAAACAAACUCAAUCUUUGCUUAUAUACUUUGAACUUUCUUAACCUGACUGGACAGCCUCCCACAUCGGCUGCGACCCGUCAUUUUUCUGCUUCUCCAUCAGCUACCCUAAAACCGAAGGUCUAUUUCUGCCAACCACCUGAUCCUGCCUGGAAAGGGCCCGCUGACCUUAUUACCUGGGGCCGUGGAUACGCUGCUGUCCAGUACAAAGAUCGCAUCAUUUGGAUCCCCAGAAGACACGUAAAACUAUUUCAUUUACAACAAAAAGAAGGAGAAACCUCUCGUGCUGAGAUUUAAGAAGAAAACACCUUGCUGAGUCCUACCGGCAACAGACUCUCAACGUACGGUGGUGAUCAGUUGGUCCCCUGAGCACAGCGGAAGAUUCAUCAGGAGGAAACUACCUUCACAUUGUACAUAUACAUUUUAUUAGCCUUACUAUAGCACUUUCUUACACAUACUAAUGUUAGUAGAAGUUUAGGAGUGAGUUUUGUGGGUAAUUGUUUUUCUAAUUUUGCUAGUAAUUUUGUUUCACACGUAUAAGUGACUAUGAUUUGUUUAUGGCCUUGGACAUUGUUAGCUUUGGGACUCUCAAGUGACCAUGUAAGGAACAUCAAAUCCCCACAUACAUACACUUCAAGUCAAGUACGCUCCACCAAAAACGCAUUGUCUAUGCACAAGCUCCUUACUUUUUACCUAAGUCUACUCCAACACCUAAGGUUCCCAUAUUGACAUUUCCAGCUGAGGGGGGAGUGAAUAAGGACAAUGGGCCUCUGCAACAAUUGCAUAGAGGAGACUAAAUAUCACGGAUUCUGGAAUUAAGUCACGAUCUUGCAUUUAUUCCCCCUACAUCUCAUGAUCCUUCAUGUCAGCAGCCUCUACAUUCAAUCAUGAUGGGACAGUAAUAAAAGACAUUCAAAUAGCUGCUAAUCGGACAAACUCCACUACUCGUAUUUCUCAAACCACACCCACCACUGACACUGGGUGGCUCAUUAAAAACUCAGAUAUCCAGAGGCAUCUUGCCCAAUCUCGGGUGGCAAUGAACUAUCGGGAUCUUCAUUUACUAACUAACUGGACAGUACAUAUGUUCAACGAGACUAUCAAGGUGCUGAAGCUGAUGAACAAAGAACUGGCUGAAAUCAGGGAGGUGGUCUUACAAAACCGAUAUGCCUUAGCUAAAGGAGGCAUUUGUGCCCUCAUAUACUCACAUUGUUGUACCUAUGUAUCUGAUUAUCAGUAUAACAUCACUCACACCAUAGAACAUAUGGAAAACUUGAUCAAAAAACAAUCCCUUAUCAUCCAAUGGAUCUGGCGCCAUUGACAUCUGGGCUGCUCUUUGGUCAUGGCUCCCGGAUGGUUCUUGGUUGAAAUGAAUUAUGCCAAUUAUUGUAUCUAUAAUUGUACUGCUUGUUUUGUUUUGUUGCUGUAUCCUAUGUCUCCCCUCCCUUCUGCAAAUGUGCAAAGGUUUUAUUCCCUCCAAUACGAAGGACGUCCUGAUAACUGAAACCAAAGCCCUUCUGGAACUGGAGGAACAAAUCAGGUGUGGUCAGAGAAGGUGCUCGGGACUUACAGGAUAGGGCUUCCAGAAUAACUCAGAGGUUACAAACUCCUGACAUGUGGUUUUCUUGGGUGCCUGGAUCCGGAUGGAUUUACAAUUUGUGCGAGCGAUUUGUGGAAAUGUAUAACUGGAAUACAACUCAGAAACUUGAUGGCCUACCUCGCUUGACAUCUCCUGGCCACUUUUCCACUAACUUUGUUCACCGUAAUAAAAGGAUGGGUGAGCUACAAACAUUUGCAGAAACCGGACGGCUGAAGAACAUAUUGUCUACUGUACUCAUGAUCAUUGCUUUGCUUAUUUCUGUAUGUUGUAGUAUCCAAUGUAUUCCUGCUUUGUUUGCUAUGAUGACAAACAUAUUUGCCAAACAUAAAGAGAACAUCAUAAUAACAACACAGCUGAACCCUGUUGCAAAAAAUUAAAACAAAAAGUAGGAGAUGUUGUAACAUGCUCAGGAGCUACGUGCAGGCAUGAGAGAAUCAUGCUGUACCGUGUAUGCGAAAAACUAGAUAAAGGUUGCAACAACUCAUAGAUAACUGUAACAAUUCACUAGCAGCUAGAAUUGUAGAUCUUCCCAAAUUUGGGCAUUGCUUCCAUGUAUUACUUGUACUUACGUAUGCAUUACAUGAGACAUGCUGUAAUAUAUUAUUGGCUUAUGCUAACAAACCCCUCCUGCCUUUGUUUGUGUACAAUAAAAGAGGCUCCCGGAGUCAGAUCUGGGUCGUCUCAUCCCGAGAAAA